UCCACUGACACAGGCUUCUCCCUGCCGGGCAGCCGCUGAUCACGCGAGGCCCCGCGCGCCCAUUGGCCCGUGCCUCACCUUUGCUGCUGAUUGGCUGGCCGCUGGCUCCGCCCCCGCCCGCGGCGCGGGGCAGGCAGAGAGGCUAACAGAAUGGGGAGGGGGCAGACGGCUCGGAGCGCGGCGGCGGCGAGAGCGACGUCGGGUGUCUCUGGGCGCACGUCUGUGGCCAGGCAGCUCAGCAGCCUAGCACCCCAACAGACAGUCACGUCUACGUCGUCGCCGGCAGCCAGACAGCCAACCAUGCUCAACUUCGGUGCCUCUCUCCAGCAGGCUGCGGAGGAAAGGAUGGAAAUGAUUUCUGAAAAAUCAAAAGAAAAUAUGUAUUCCUGGAACAAAACUGCAGAGAAGAGUGAUUUUGAAGCUGUGGAAGCACUUAUCUCAAUGAGCUGCAGUUGGAACUCUGACUUUAAGAAGUACAUUGAAAAUAGACCUGUGACCCCAGUGUCUGAUAUGUCAGAAGAAAAUCUACUUCCAGGCACACCUGAGUUUCAUACAAUCCCAGCUUUUUGUUUGACUCCACCUUAUAGUCCUUCUGACUUUGAACCCUCCCAGAUGUCGAUGCUGAUGGCAUCAUCGCCAUCUACUGGACAUUUCAAGUCAUUCACUGAUUUUUCCAAGCCUCACAUUGCUGCACCUUUCAAGGAGGAAGAGAAGAGUCCAUUACCUGCUCCUAAACUCCCCAAGGCUCAGGCAACAAGCGUGAUUCGUCAUACAGCCGAUGCCCAUCUGUGUAACCACCGGUCCUGCCCCGUGAAAGCAACCAGCAUUCUCAACUCUCAGGACAAUUCUUUUCGAAGAAGAACCCACCUAAAUGUUGAGGCUGUUAGAAAGAACGUACCAUGUGCAGCUGUGUCCCCAAACAGGUCCACAUGUGAGCGAAACACAGUGGCAGAUACUGAUGAGAAAGCACGUGCUGCACUUUAUGACUUUUCUGUGCCUUCCUCAGAGACAGUUAUCUGCAGGUCCCAGCCAGCUCCCGUGUCCCCACAGCAGAAGUCGGUGCUGGUUUCGCCACCUGCAGUCUCCACAGGGGGAGUGCCACCUAUGCCAGUUCUCUGCCAGAUGGUUCCCCUCCCUGCAAAUAACCCUGUGGUGACAAAUAGUCGUUCCCAACACUCCACCCAGUCAGCCACCUGCUGUCUGCCCACCUGUCGUGCUCAUGGGCACCCAUGUGGCCAAAGGUGCCGUCAUGUUUGUUGUUCCCCAGCCUGUUGUACAUACAGAACCCAAAGCCUUCCUCAGUGGUGAGCCCAAAUGGCACCAGACUUUCUCCCAUCGCCCCUGCUCCAGGCUUUUCCCCUUCCACAGCGAAAGUCACCCCUCCGAUUGACUCGUUGAGGAUAAGAAGUCAUAUCUGUAGCCAUCCAGGAUGUGGGAAGACCUACUUUAAAAGUUCUCAUUUGAAAGCCCACAUGAGAACUCAUACAGGAGAAAAACCUUUCAGCUGCAGCUGGAAAGGUUGUGAACGGAGGUUUGCCCGUUCCGAUGAACUGUCCAGACACAGACGAACCCACACAGGUGAGAAGAAAUUUGCCUGUCCCAUGUGUGAUCGGCGGUUCAUGAGGAGUGACCACUUGACCAAGCAUGCCCGGCGCCAUCUGUCAGCCAAGAAGCUACCAAACUGGCAAAUGGAAGUGAGCAAACUAAAUGACAUUGCUCUCCCUCCAACCUCUGCUCCCACGCAGUGAUAGGUCAGAAGGUGAAGAAACAGAACUCACUUUGGUCACAGCCCAAAGCUGGUGGAACUAUUUUGAAAAAGCUUCCACUGCAAGUCUGUGGCCCUCACUGUGGGCUGAAAGCAAAAGCCCCUACAGCCUGGGGCAAAGGCCCAGCCCUAGUUAAGGUGACAAGGAGCACUGAGGCCACAGGCAGGUCACAGAAUGGCAGGUUUCAUUUCUUAUCACAUAAGAGAGAUGAGAAAACUUUUAUUCUUUUGAAUACUCUUGGAAGGUUUCAGAUGAGGUCAACACAGGUAGCACAGAUUUUGAAUUUGUGUGCAUAAUUAUUUGUUACUUUUGCUGUUCAUACUUGAGACCAACUUUUCAAUGUGAGUCUCUCCUAAAGCCCUGGUUUCAAGAGCGCAGAGACUGGAAAUAAACAUUGCAGUACAGAGAUGGAAAAGUAAAAUUGGUGUGUAUUAUUGCAAAUAUUGUUACCUUUCCCUCAAGUUAUCUUGUUUACUAUUCUUAGUCUUUCCAGUCAACUUUGUGAACAUAGUGGUUAAAUAUAUCUAGAAAACUAGCAUUUUUACACUAUUACUGAUAACUGGAAUUGAGUGGCUGUAUAUUGCUAGAGAGGGUCCAAAAAAACUGGACUCUUCAUUAAUUUAGUUGCU